GACGAACGCUGGCGGCGUGCCUAACACAUGCAAGUCGAACGGAAAGGCCCUGCUUUUGUGGGGUGCUCGAGUGGCGAACGGGUGAGUAACACGUGAGUAACCUGCCCUUGACUUUGGGAUAACUUCAGGAAACUGGGGCUAAUACCGGAUAGGAGCUCCUGCUGCAUGGUGGGGGUUGGAAAGUUUCGGCGGUUGGGGAUGGACUCGCGGCUUAUCAGCUUGUUGGUGGGGUAGUUGCUUACCAAGGCUUUGACGGGUAGCCGGCAUGGGAGGGUGGCCGGCCACAUUGGGACUGAGAUACGGCCCAGACUCCUACGGGAGGCAGCAGUGGGGAAUAUUGCACAAUGGGCGGAAGCCUGAUGCAGCAACGCCGCGUGCGGGAUGACGGCCUUCGGGUUGUAAACCGCUUUCGCCUGUGACGAAGCGUGAGUGACGGUAAUGGGUAAAGAAGCACCGGCUAACUACGUG
rnacentral:rRNA from 1 species